rnacentral:lncRNA from 1 species
AAAAAUUCUAUGUAUUUGAUUGCGAAAAUCUCACAGUCGCCCCUGCAAAUGAACAAAUAUGUGUUAGUUCGGAUUACGUACGAACUUAUUACUAAAUUUUAAAAAAAUAUAUUACAAAGACUUACGAUAUAAACUGUCUCGCCGUCGUCGUAUCCCGCACGAUGGCUAGUUUGUCAUCCACAAUCAAGCCCGCAUAUCUAGCUAUUAUAGGAACGAUCACAGUCACCGGCUCUAAGAUCUGCUCGAGCUGUCCCUGUGUCAGACAUGAAUGAUCGGUGUCGUAUACAUAUAUCGUCGAAUCAGGGAACACGAUCUCCAGUGCAAUGCAGUGUUGAUUCGCAAUAACUGGAAUGUACAAAUGCGUACAACCCUCCCACGGCUUUUUCCCAACACUCGGUAAUAGCCCGAUGAUCCACCCGAGUAUAUAUGCGGGAAGCACGU